GUCACUUUGCCGGAGUGGUUAACGGGAUCGCCUGCUAGUCUUAUAUAAUCAGUUUACAUAAGCAGCGUAGCGGUUGGGCUUUGCCCGCGUGUGUUCGAAUCGCACAGGUGACG